AGAAGAAGUAGACCCAGAGACUCUCUGAGUGUACUGAGUCUCAGGGACAGUCUCCUGACCCGAAGAACUGGGAGCUGAAGAAGAGGCCGGGUCUAAACGACUACCCGGCUCACCGAAGAUCUCUUUGUAAUGGGCAGUAAGUCUUCCUAUUUGAACCUGGAAAAAAAUUAAAUUUUUAAAAUUAACAUCAACAGUAUAUUUCCCAACAUUAUCCACCUAAUCAACACUAAAUAACAUAAAAUCCGUAAACCUAUCUAAAUUCCCUAUACUAACCACCUAAUCUAUCCUAAACUAACCAAAUUAGAGAGGAAUUAGAAAGGCCUACCAUUGCUACGAAAUGGAGAGGAAGUGGAGAGGAAGUAGAGAGGAAAGAAAGAGCGAGCGCUCGGGGGUAUAUAUAAGACUACAUAUCGUCGCAAAUUCCUCGUAAGCUUACGACGAAAUAGCGAGCAGUUACAAAGGCCCGUGUUUUUCUGUACGAGGAAAUUGCGAGGAAUUACAAAGGCCCGUGUUUUUAUAUAUGAGGUAUUAACGACGAUUUUGUUUACGUGGAAUUAACGAGCCUUGCUUUCCUAUAAAUAUACCC
rnacentral:lncRNA from 1 species